rnacentral:lncRNA from 1 species
AUGAAGAAAGCUAGUGGAGGUGAUGGAAUUCCAGUUGAGCGGUUUCAAAUCCUGAAAGAUGAUGCUGUAAAAGUGCUGCACUCAAUAUGCCAGCACAUUUGGAAAACUCAGCAGUGGCCACAGGACUGGAAAAGGUCAGUUUUCAUUCCAAUUCCAAAGAAAGGUAAUGCCAAUGAAUGCUCAAACUACAGCACAAUUGCACUCAUCUCACAUGCUAGUAAAGUAAUGCUCAAAAUUCUCCAAGCCAGGCUUCAGCAAUACAUGAACCGUGAACUCCCAGAUGUUCAAGCUGGUUUUAGAAAAGACAGAGGAACCAGAGAUCAAAUUGUCAACAUCCACUGGAUCAUGGAAAAGGCAAGAGAGUUCCAGAAAAACAUCUAUUUCUGCUUUAUUGACUAUGCCAAAGCCUUUGACUGUGUGGAUCACAAUAAACUGUGGAAAAUUCUGAAAGAGAUGGGAAUACCAGAGCACCUGACCUGCCUCUUGAGAAAUCUGUAUGCAGGUCAGGAAGCAUCAGUUAGAACUGGACAUGGAACAACAGACUGGUUCCAAAUAGGAAUAGGAGUACGUCAAGGCUGUAUAUUGUCACCCUGCUUAUUUAACUUCUAUACAGAGUACAUCAUGAGAAAUGCUGGACUGGAAGAAACACAAGCUGGAAUCAAGAUUUCCAGAAGAAAUAUCCAUAACCUCAGAUAUGCAGAUGACACCACCCUUAUGGCAGAAAGUGAAGAGGAACUAAAUAGCCUCUUGAUGAAAGUGAAAGUGGAGAGUGAAAAAGUUGGCUUAAAGCUCAACAUUCAGAAAACGAAGAUCAUGGCAUCUGGUCCCAUCACUUCAUGGGAAAUAGAUGGGGAAACAGUGGAAACAGUGUCAGACUUUAUUUUGGGGGGCUCCAAAAUCACUGCAGAUGGUGACUGCAGCCAUGAAAUUAAAAGACGCUUAUUCCUUGGAAGAAAAGUUAUGACCAACCUAGAUAGCAUAUUGAAAAGCAGAGACAUUACUUUGCCGACUAAGGUCCAUCUAGUCAAGGCAAUGGUUUUUCCAGUGGUCAUGUAUGGAUGUGAGAGGGACUGUGAAGAAAGCUGA